rnacentral:rRNA from 1 species
UACGUAGGUGGCAAGCGUUGUCCGGAUUUAUUGGGUUUAAAGGGUGCGUAGGCGGCCCUGUAAGUCAGUGCUGAAAUACCCCGGCUUAACCGGGGGGGUGGCAUUGAUACUGCAGGGCUUGAGUACAGAUGAGGUAGGCGGAAUUGACGGUGUAGCGGUGAAAUGCGUAGAUAUCAGGAGGAACACCGGUGGCGAAGGCGCCUAUCUGGCCCGAUACUGACGCUGAGGCGCGAAAGCUAGGGGAGCAAACGGG